UACAGAGGGUGCAAGCGUUGUUCGGAAUUAUUGGGCGUAAAGCGCGCGUAGGCGGCCCGGUAAGUCCGUUGUGAAAGUCAAAGGCUCAACCUUUGAACGCCGAUGGAUACUGCCGGGCUAGAGUCCGGAAGAGGCGAGUGGAAUUCCUGGUGUAGCGGUGGAAUGCGCAGAUAUCAGGAGGAACACCGAUAGCGAAGGCAGCUCGCUGGGACGGUACUGACGCUGAGGCGCGAAAGCGUGGGGAGCGAACAGG
rnacentral:rRNA from 1 species